GUAUAUUGGGUAGGGGAGCGUUCUGUAAGCGGUUGAAGGUGUGUGGUAACGCAUGCUGGACGUAUCAGAAGUGCGAAUGCUGACAUGAGUAACGAUAAAGGGGGUGAAAAACCUCCUCGCCGGAAGACCAAGGGUUCCUGUCCAACGUUAAUCGGGGCAGGGUAAGUCGACCCCUAAGGCGAGGCCGAAAGGCGUAGUCGAUGGGAAACGGGUUAAUAUUCCCGUACUUCUUACAAUUGCGAUGGGGGGACGGAGAAGGCUAGGUGGGCCUGGCGACGGUUGUCCAGGUUCAAGUGCGUAGGCUGAGAGAUUAGGUAAAUCCGGUUUCUCUUAAGGCUGAGACACGACGUCGAGCACCUACGGGUGUGAAGUCAUUGAUGCCAUGCUUCCAGGAAAAGCCUCUAAGCUUCAGAUUGUAAGGAAUCGUACCCCAAACCGACACAGGUGGUCGGGUAGAGAAUACCAAGGCGCUUGAGAGAACUCGGGUGAAGGAACUAGGCAAAAUGGUACCGUAACUUCGGGAGAAGGUACGCUCUCGACGGUGAAGUCCCUUGCGGAUGGAGCUAUUGAGAGUCGCAGAUACCAGGUGGCUGCAACUGUUUAUUAAAAACACAGCACUGUGCAAAAUCGUAAGAUGACGUAUACGGUGUGACGCCUGCCCGGUGCCGGAAGGUUAAUUGAUGGGGUUAGACUUCGGUCGAAGCUCUUGAUCGAAGCCCCGGUAAACGGCGGCCGUAACUAUAACGGUCCUAAGGUAGCGAAAUUCCUUGUCGGGUAAGUUCCGACCUGCACGAAUGGCGUAAUGAUGGCCACGCUGUCUCCACCCGAGACUCAGUGAAAUUGAAAUCGCUGUGAAGAUGCAGUGUACCCGCGGCUAGACGGAAAGACCCCGUGAACCUUUACUACAGCUUGGCACUGAACAUUGACCCUACAUGUGUAGGAUAGGUGGGAGGCUUUGAAGCACGUACGCCAGUAUGUGUGGAGCCGUCCUUGAAAUACCACCCUUGUAGUGUUGAUGUUCUAACGUCGACCCCUUAUCGGGGUUGCGGACAGUGCCUGGUGGGUAGUUUGACUGGGGCGGUCUCCUCCCAAAGAGUAACGGAGGAGCACGAAGGUGGGCUAAUCACGGUUGGACAUCGUGAGGUUAGUGCAAUGGCAUAAGCCCGCUUGACUGCGAGAAUGACAAUUCGAGCAGGUGCGAAAGCAGGUCAUAGUGAUCCGGUGGUUCUGAAUGGAAGGGCCAUCGCUCAACGGAUAAAAGGUACUCCGGGGAUAACAGGCUGAUACCGCCCAAGAGUUCAUAUCGACGGCGGUGUUUGGCACCUCGAUGUCGGCUCAUCACAUCCUGGGGCUGAAGUCGGUCCCAAGGGUAUGGCUGUUCGCCAUUUAAAGUGGUACGCGAGCUGGGUUUAGAACGUCGUGAGACAGUUCGGUCCCUAUCUGCCGUGGGCGUUGGAAGAUUGAAGGGGGCUGCUCCUAGUACGAGAGGACCGGAGUGGACGAACCUCUGGUGUUCGGGUUGUGUCGCCAGACGCAUUGCCCGGUAGCUAAGUUCGGAAUCGAUAACCGCUGAAAGCAUCUAAGCGNNGGACUCUACUCAGAAGGGACUAUGAAUAAGUAUCCUAAAGGGUUGUCGGAGACUACGACGUUGAUAGGUCAGGUGUGUAAGUGCUGUGAGGCAUUGAGCUAACUGAUACUAAUUGCCCGUGAGGCUUAACCAUACAACACCCAAGGGGUUU
rnacentral:rRNA from 1 species